rnacentral:rRNA from 1 species
GAUGAACGCUGGCGGCGUGCCUAAUACAUGCAAGUCGAGCGAACGGACGAGAAGCUUGCUUCUCUGAUGUUAGCGGCGGACGGGUGAGUAACACGUGGAUAACCUACCUAUAAGACUGGGAUAACUUCGGGAAACCGGAGCUAAUACCGGAUAAUAUUUUGAACCGCAUGGUUCAAAAGUGAAAGACGGUCUUGCUGUCACUUAUAGAUGGAUCCGCGCUGCAUUAGCUAGUUGGUAAGGUAACGGCUUACCAAGGCAACGAUGCAUAGCCGACCUGAGAGGGUGAUCGGCCACACUGGAACUGAGACACGGUCCAGACUCCUACGGGAGGCAGCAGUAGGGAAUCUUCCGCAAUGGGCGAAAGCCUGACGGAGCAACGCCGCGUGAGUGAUGAAGGUCUUCGGAUCGUAAAACUCUGUUAUUAGGGAAGAACAUAUGUGUAAGUAACUGUGCACAUCUUGACGGUACCUAAUCAGAAAGCCACGGCUAACUACGUGCCAGCAGCCGCGGUAAUACGUAGGUGGCAAGCGUUAUCCGGAAUUAUUGGGCGUAAAGCGCGCGUAGGCGGUUUUUUAAGUCUGAUGUGAAAGCCCACGGCUCAACCGUGGAGGGUCAUUGGAAACUGGAAGACUUGAGUGCAGAAGAGGAAAGUGGAAUUCCAUGUGUAGCGGUGAAAUGCGCAGAGAUAUGGAGGAACACCAGUGGCGAAGGCGACUUUCUGGUCUGUAACUGACGCUGAUGUGCGAAAGCGUGGGGAUCAAACAGGAUUAGAUACCCUGGUAGUCCACGCCGUAAACGAUGAGUGCUAAGUGUUAGGGGGUUUCCGCCCCUUAGUGCUGCAGCUAACGCAUUAAGCACUCCGCCUGGGGAGUACGACCGCAAGGUUGAAACUCAAAGGAAUUGACGGGGACCCGCACAAGCGGUGGAGCAUGUGGUUUAAUUCGAAGCAACGCGAAGAACCUUACCAAAUCUUGACAUCCUUUGACAACUCUAGAGAUAGAGCCUUCCCCUUCGGGGGGGCAAAGUGACAGGUGGUGUAUGGUUGUCGUCAGCUCGUGUCGUGAGAUGUUGGGUUAAGUCCCGCAACGAGCGCAACCCUUAAGCUUAGUUGCCAUCAUUAAGUUGGGCACUCUAAGUUGACUGCCGGUGACAAACCGGAGGAAGGUGGGGAUGACGUCAAAUCAUCAUGCCCCUUAUGAUUUGGGCUACACACGUGCUACAAUGGACAAUACAAAGGGCAGCGAAACCGCGAGGUCAAGCAAAUCCCAUAAAGUUGUUCUCAGUUCGGAUUGUAGUCUGCAACUCGACUACAUGAAGCUGGAAUCGCUAGUAAUCGUAGAUCAGCAUGCUACGGUGAAUACGUUCCCGGGUCU